rnacentral:rRNA from 1 species
UACGUAGGUGACGAGCGUUAUCCGGAAUACUGGGCGUAAAGCGCACGCAAGCGGUUGGACAAGUCUGGCGUGAAAUCUCCUGGCUUAACUAGGAGCGGUCGCUGGAGACUGUUCGGCUUGAGGCGAUGAGAGGGGUGCAGAAUUCCCGGUGUGAGUGGUGGAAUGCGUAGAGAUCGGGAGGAAUACCAGUGGCGAAAGCGGCACCCUGGCGUCGGUACUGACGCACAUGUGCGAAAGCGUGGGGAGCGAACGGGG